GACGAACGCUGGCGGCGUGCUUAACACAUGCAAGUCGAGGGCUCCCAGCAAUGGGGGACCGGCAAACGGGUGCGUAACACGUGAGCAACCUACCCAAGUGUGGGGGAUAGCCGGCCCAACGGCCGGGUAAUACCGCAUACGCUCAUCGAGGGGAGUCCCUUGGUGAGGAAACCUCCGGGGCACUUGGAGGGGCUCGCGGCCUAUCAGCUAGUUGGUGCGGUAACGGCGCACCAAGGCGAUGACGGGUAGC
rnacentral:rRNA from 1 species